rnacentral:misc_RNA from 1 species
UUGGAAGAGAUCGGAGGAGGCGGAGGAGGCGGACAUUCAAUCUGCCGGGGUGGAGAAACGGCGACCUCUACUUCAGGGACUGGCUGCUCUUGAGGUUGAGGAGGGGAGCUCGGUAUCUCUACCAAAUCUCACCGAGGUGUCUGAGCAGCAGUAGCAGUAGCCUCCUUCAUCGCCCGUACCUUUCGAGAGACCUCUCUCUUUCGCUUACGGCUCUCUUUAAAAGCGUCGCCACCCGCCAUACCUGCACAAAGA